GUGGGUUUAGCUCAGUGGCAGAGUGUGUGCUUAGCAUGCACAAGGUUUCGGGUUCAGUCCCCAGGACCUCCA
rnacentral:tRNA from 1 species